AUUGAACGCUGGCGGCAGGCCUAACACAUGCAAGUCGAACGAGUGGCGGACGGGUGAGUAAUGUCUGGGAAACUGCCUGCUGGAGGGGGAUAACUACUGGAAACGGUAGCUAAUACCGCAUCCCAUCAGAUGUGCCCAGAUGGGAUUAGCGUGUUGGUGGGGUACAGGCUCACAAAGGCGACGAUCCCUAGCUGGUCUGAGAGGAUGACCAGCAAAACGGGAACUGAGACACGGUCCAGAUUCAUACGUGAGGCAGAAGUGGGGAAGAUGGCACAAUGGGAGCAAGCCUGAUGCAGCCAGGCCGGGUGUAUGAAGAAGGCCUUCGGGUUGUAAAGUACGUGCAGCGGGGAGGCGUUACCCGCAGAAGAAGCACAGGCUAACUCCGUGCCAGCAGCGGCGGUAAUAC
rnacentral:rRNA from 1 species